rnacentral:tRNA from 1 species
GCGGGCGUGAUGGAAUUGGUAGACAUACCAGACUUAAAAUCUGUUGGCCGAAUGGCCGUGCGGGUUCGAGUCCCGCCGCCCGCACCA